UACGGAGGGUGCAAGCGUUAUCCGGAUUUACUGGGUUUAAAGGGUGUGUAGGCGGACUUUUAAGUCAGCGGUGAAAUCUCCGGGCUCAACCCGGAAACUGCCAUUGAUACUAUUGGUCUUGAAUAUUGUUGAGGUGGGCGGAACGGGUCAUGUAGCGGUGAAAUGCUUAGAUAUGAUGUAGAACACCGAUUGCGAAGGCAGCUCACUAAGCAGACAUUGACGCUGAGGCACGAAAGCGUGGGGAUCAAACAGG
rnacentral:rRNA from 1 species